rnacentral:rRNA from 1 species
CAGUAGCCGCGGUAAUACAGAGGGUACGAGCGUUAAUCGGAUUUACUGGGCGUAAAGCGUGCGUAGGCGGCUUCUUAAGUCGGAUGUGAAAUCCCUGAGCUUAACUUAGGAAUUGCAUUCGAUACUGGGAAGCUAGAGUAUGGGAGAGGAUGGUAGAAUUCCAGGUGUAGCGGUGAAAUGCGUAGAGAUCUGGAGGAAUACCGAUGGCGAAGGCAGCCAUCUGGCCUAAUACUGACGCUGAGGUACGAAAGCAUGGGGAGCAAACAGGAUUAGAUACCCCAGUAGUCCCUGUCUCUUAUAC